UACGUAGGGGGCAAGCGUUAUCCGGAUUUACUGGGUGUAAAGGGGGGCGCAGACGGCAAUGCAAAGCCAGGAGUGAAAGCCCCGGGGGCCCCAAACCCCCGGGGACUGCUCUUGGGAACUGCAUGGCUGGAGUACAGGAGGGGCAGGCGGAAUUCCUAGUGUAGCGGUGAAAUGCGUAGAUAUUAGGAGGAACACCGGUGGCGAAGGCGGCCUGCUGGACUGUGACUGACGUUGAGGCC
rnacentral:rRNA from 1 species